AUGGAUUCGUGUGUUCUGGACAUAUUAUAUGAAUGGAAUCAUAUAAUAUGUGGCUUUUUGUGUUCACCUUAUUUUACUUAGCAUAAUAUUUUCAAGGUUCAUUUAUAUUGUAGCAUGAAUCAAUACUUCUUUCCUUUUUAUAACAUGUAUUUCCUAUUCUGUCUGGUUGGCUUGCUGCUUAAAAAUCAGAAUACAGAAGAGAAGACAGUCUUGUGGAGGGUCAAAGGAGCCACUGUUUGUAGUUAUUUGGGAUCUUUGAGGAAACCCCUGCUAAAAUAACUUGAUUGGAGAUUUUCCUUAGUCUGGACCAAACCUUCCCAUUAUUGGACACAGAUGGUCAGCUAGUAAUCAAUCAUCUAUAAUUAUGCUUUGGAAAAACCUCAUGAGCAAAGACCCUCGACUUGUAGUCAAAGCUACAAUUUAUGUCAAGCAGCUCCAUUAGAUGUCUCAUUUCCCAGCCAUCAGGAGGAGGAAAGAGGGAAUGAAGAACAAGCUUCUUCCUGUGGGUGUGACCCAGAGGUUGUUCGUGUCACUUCUAUUCACAUUUGCUUGUGUAGAACUUACACAAUCAUACUUAACUUCAAGAAAGAUUGGGCAACAUAGUUUAUAGCGGGGAGGAUUUAUGCCCUGAAAUUGAUGGUGUCAUCUUUUCAUCUUCCCUCUCUCACCAUUAGCAUGUAAUCUGUAACUGAAUUUGAACAAUCCAACUUCCAAAUGAUUUCCAUUUUUCUCCAUAUUCCUAACAACACUUUAGUCUAAAGCGUCCUCAUCCUUGCCUAGUUUACUACAAUAACCUAAUUGGUCAGCGUGCUUCCAUUCUUGCCCCACCAAGUCAUUUCUGACACCGUGGCCGCUAAUUCUUAAGAAUAGAAACCAAAUCAUCACUCUUCUUUAAGGCCUUUAGUGUCUAUUUCCAUAGAAUAAAAUCCAUACCCUGCACCAUGAGCCGUAAGACCUGGCAAUGACCUGGCUCUAGUGUACCCAGUGCUAUCCUUGCACCAUGCUUUCCACCAGUCACUAUGUUCUGGCUUCUCUGGCCUCCACCUUUUUCUAGAACACAUUGAUCCUUUCCCCACCUCAGGCCCUUAUCCCUGCUAUUCUUCAUCCUGUAAAACUUUUGCUGGGAUCUCCGCGUGGCUGGCUCGCCCUCAUCUCUUGGCACUCAGCACAAAUGUCAUCUAUUUUGAGAAUCUUUCCUGACUGCCCUUUGUAAAGCAGCAUGUCUUGUUCCCAGUGACUCUUUAUUGCAUUACUUUAUUUAUUUUCUUCAUAGCAUUUAUUAAAUUAUAUAAUAAUCCUGUUUAUUUGAUUAUUUAAUUUUCUCCUUUCAUUAGAAAAUAAUCCUUAGGAGGGCAGUUUCUUUGGCUUAUCCUGAUUCUCAGACUCUGGCACAUAAAAGGAACUCAACAGAUUGCUAUUGAAUGAGUGAUUAAAUGAGUUAGGUACACUUUAUAUAUUUCUUACAAUAAGAAUCUGGUGCCCACUGUGGGAAAACCAGGUAAAAGGAACCUUACACAGAUUUGCCUCCACUAGCUUUACUUCUGGCUUGGGUGUACUGCAUGUUACACCUAAGCCAUGAAUUUAUCAACCUCGGAUGGUGUUUGAAGUUUUAGUCAUUCUCUGCAGUAGGUUGAAUGGUGGUCCCUAAAAGUUGUGUUCAUGUCCUAAUACCCAGACCUUGUGAAUGUUACUUUAUUUGGAAGGAAAAAGUCUUUGCAGAUGUAAUUAAGAAUCUUGAGAUCAUCCUGAUUAACUGCAUGGGUCCUAAUCCAAUGACAAAUGUCCCUGUAAAGGCAGAGGGAGAUUUGAGCCUUAGAGGAGAAUGUCAUGUGAGGACAGAGGCAGAGAUCAGGGUUUUAUAGUCACAUCCCAGGAAUGCCUGAACCACCAGAAGCUGGAAGAAGCAAGAAAGGAUUCUCCCUUAGCGCCUUCGGAGUGAGCAUAGCCCUGCUGAUGGCUUCAUUUCAGACUUCCGGCUUCCUAAACUUUGAGAGAAUAAAUUUCUAUUGUUUCAAGCACCUGAAUC
rnacentral:lncRNA from 1 species